CCCUUAGAUGUUCUGGGCCGCACGCGCGCUACACUGACGAAUGCAACGAGCUUAUAACCUUGGCCGAAAGGUCUGGGUAAUCUCCAAAUUUCGGCGUGAUGGGGAUAGAUUAUUGCAAUUAUUAAUCUUCAACGAGGAAUGCCUAGUAAGCGCAAGUCAUCAGCUUGCGUUGAUUACGUCCCUGCCCUUUGUACACACCGCCCGUCGCUCCUACCGAUUGAAUGGUCCGGUGAAGCGUUCGGACCGUGGCCUUUGGACGGUUCGCCGUCUGUUGGCUGCGGGAAGUUCGUUAAACCUUAUCAUUUAGAGGAAGGAGAAGUCGUAACA
rnacentral:rRNA from 1 species